rnacentral:rRNA from 1 species
AUUGAACGCUGGCGGCAGGCCUAACACAUGCAAGUCGAGCGGAGCGGCGGACGGGUGAGUAAUGCCUAGGAAUCUGCCUGGUAGUGGGGGAUAACGUCAGGAAACGGGCGCUAAGAUCGCAUACUAUCAGAUGAGCCUAGGUCGGGUUCGCUGGUUGGUGGGGUAAAGGCCUACCAAUGCGACGAUCCGUAACUGGUCUGAGAGGAUGAUCAGUCACACUGGAUCUGAGAAAGGGUCCAGACUACUACGUGGUGCAGCGUUGGGGAAUAUUGGACAAUGGGCGAAAUCCUGAUCCAGCCAUGCCGCGUGUGUGAAGAGGGUCUUCGGUUUGUAAGCACUUUAAGUUGGGAGGCGUUACCAACAGAAUAAGCACCGGCUAACUUCGUGCCAGCAGCCGCGGUAAUUC